CAGUGGGGAAUAUUGCACAAUGGGCGCAAGCCUGAUGCAGCCAUGCCGCGUGUAUGAAGAAGGCCUUCGGGUUGUAAAGUACUUUCAGCAGUGAGGAAGGUGGGUAUGUUUAAUAGCAUAUUCAUUUGACGUUUAGCUGCAGAAGAAGCACCGGCUAACUCCGUGCCAGCAGCCGCGGUAAUACGGAGGGUGCGAGCGUUAAUCGGAAUUACUGGGCGUAAAGCGCAUGCAGGUGGUUUGUUAAGUCAGAUGUGAAAGCCCGGGGCUCAACCUCGGAAUUGCAUUUGAAACUGGCAAACUAGAGUACUGUAGAGGGGGUAGAAUUUCAGGUGUAGCGGUGAAAUGCGUAGAGAUCUGAAGGAAUACCGGUGGCGAAGGCGGCCCCCUGGACAGAUACUGACACUCAGAUGCGAAAGCGUGGGGAGCAAACAGGAUUAGAUACCCUGGUAG
rnacentral:rRNA from 1 species